rnacentral:rRNA from 1 species
UCCCUUAUAAUUCCUCUACCCAGAAGAAAAAAGAAAUAUAUAUAUUUUGCUCCUAGAUGUGUGUAUCUCGUGUAUGGUAGUAGUAGAGGUAAAAGCUCUACUAGCUUUAUGCACGUAGUCGAAACUGAGAGGUUGAUCGACCACAAUGGGUCUGAACAAAGCCCAUGAUGCGAAUCACAGCAGUGAGGAAUAUUGGUCAAUUGCCUAACGGCUGAACCAGCAACUUGGAGGAAUGUAUAGCAAUAGCUAUUUAUCUCAACAAACUGUUGAGAUAGGAUCGACUCUGUUGAAUAAAAUUCUGGGUAUGAUGAUGAUGAUGACAUCGUUUACCUAUAAGUCUUGACAAAGUUACGUGCCAGCAGUCGCGGUAAUACGUAAGAGGCUAGCGUUAUUCAUCUUUAAUAGGUUUAAAGGGUACUUAGACGGUGAGUAAAGCCUUUAGAGGAACUAAUUCGCUAGAGUUACUUGUGAGGGGGUUUUAAAGUACUAGUGGAGUAGAGAUAAAAUUCUUUGAUACCUUUUUCGAAAGAAAGUAAUGGCACAGGUAUAGGCGAAAGCAUCCCCUUAUGUGAGAACUGACGUUGAAGGACGAAGGCUUUGAGCAGCGAACAGGAUUAGAUACCCUGGUAGUCCAAGCAGACAAAUCUGAAUGCCAUAGACUAGACUUUCUCAGUUUUUUCUAUAAGUGAAAAUGCAAGCAUUCCACCUCAAGAGUAAUUUGGCAACAUUGGAACUGAAAUCAUUAGACCGUUUCUGAAACCAGUAGUGAAGUAUGUUGUUUAAUUUGAUGUUCCGCAAAAAACCUUACCACAAUUUGAAUGUUUAUAAUGUAUUUUUAUAUGAAGAUCGAUAUAAAUACAAGCGUUGCACGGCUGUUUUCAGUUAAUGUCGUGAGAUUUUGGUUAGUUCCAUUAAAUUAACGUAAACCCUUAUUUUAUUUGAAAAUAAAAUAACUCCUCCGUACAUUGGAUGUGAUAAUAG